CUCGGGAAACGUCAUAGAGGAAAAGUCUCUUAGAAUUGUUUGAACUGUUGAUUGUAAAGAUAAAAUUCUCGAAAUUCGUGACCCUAGCAUGUGAGGAUGGUGGGCUUUUGUCAACAGUGCCUGACAGAGACGUGAUCGACCGCCCAAGCUAAUAAAGAGCAGAUCGGUGGUGAAGAGGAUAAAAGUAAAAGUUGUGUAUUAAUUCAUUAUUAAUGUACUUGUCAGAGUAGUGACCAUGAUACCUGCUGUGGGUGACAGAUACCUCAGGUUCGACUCUGGACUGACUUAACAUCUCCAGAGUUCCUAGUAAGUCUCUCAUGAUGGGGAGCAGCAGCAGCAGCCACUACUUGACCUGACGUGGAGAUCUGGCUUGUUGAGGCCUCUAGACUGUUGGGUAGGAAGCGUCAGUAGCAAUACCACAGUUGUUGUUCAUGUUGCGAGCCAUCUUGAUGUAUCCAUGUUCACCCCAGCUGGUGCCUCAUGAGUUCUUUAACGAUCCAGUAGUCCUGGCCGCCCUCCGAGCUGUAGCCGACUGUCACAUCUACAUCAUGGUCAACACUUUGGUGAGUAUAGGUUUUUAUUAUGUUGUACAGUCUGCAUAGUUGACUGGGAAUGAACAAGGACUUGGCUAUAACUUCAACACUACUUUUCUCACACUAAUAUAAGGUGAUGACAUCGCCUAGGUCACCUGUGUGAUGGGUUUGUUAUCUAACACAGUGGAAACUGUCAACUAAUACUGAACUUCUGGCCAUUCAAACUUUACAGUUUAUACAUAUACAGUACAGUAUAUGAUCUGUUAACAUUCAUGCAUACUCUGACUACACUUAUGACCAACUUAUAAUUAGAAGUGUUGCUGAAACAUAAUGUUAUUAAUGAGUGUCUUAUUGACAUUGUUGUGACAAGGGAACUUGCCUCAGUUUUGUGUGCUUUAUGAAGGUUCUACCAGCCUCUUUGUCUGUGGUUGUGUCGGCUUUACUACAGAAGAUAUAAUACUGUGAGGCAUACAGGUAAUACUCUUAACGUUGUGUUCUAAG